CAGCCAGACCCAGGGCGGCCCCUCCUGGCAGCUCUGCUCCUCCCGAAGGAUGCUUUGGGAGUGAGGCGAAGCUGGGCCACUCCUCACGCCUGCGGCCGCCUCCUUCACUCUUCUGAGUCUCCGCAACAGUCCUGCCUGCCCUUCUACCCAGCUGUUGCUCAUUUCAGGUCCAGCAAAGUCUUUCUGAUAACGGGGAGAGGGCAGUAAGGAGGACUUCCUGGAGGGGGUGACAGUCCAGAGCUUGAAACUGUGCCACACCAGAAGCCAUUGGCAGCAAGGAUACCAUGAAGCUUCCGGGUGUGAUGCCAGCUCUGGUCCUCAAAGGCCAGUUGCUGUUGCUGCCCCUGCUGUUGCUGCUGGGACCACAAGCCUCUCAGGGACUGGUCAUCAUACCCCCGGAGCCAGAGCUUGUCCUCAAUGUCUCCAGCACCUUGGUUCUGACCUGCUUGGGUUCAGCUCCUGUGGUGUGGGAACGUAUAUCCCAGGAGUUCCUGCAGGAAAUGGCUGAAACACAGAACGGCACCUUCUACAGCAUACUGACACUGGCCAAUGUCACUGGGCUAGACACAGGGGAAUACGUUUGCACCUAUAAUGGCUCCCAUGGGCUAGAGCUCAGUGAGCAGAAACGGAUCUACAUCUUUGUGCCAGAUCCCACCAUGGGCUUCCUCCCUAAUGAACCUGAGGAUCUAUUCAUCUUUCUCACGGAAGUAAGUGAGAUCACAAUUCCAUGCCGAGUGACAGACCCACAGCUGGUGGUGACACUGCACGAGAAGAAAGACGAUGCCCCCCUGCCUAUUCCCUAUGACCACCAACGUGGCUUCUCUGGUACCUUGGAGGACAAGUCCUACAUCUGCAAAACCACCAUCGGGGACAGGGAGGUGGAUUCCGAUGUCUACUAUGUCUACAGCCUCCAGGUGUCAUCCAUGAAUAUCUCAGUGAACGCAGUGCAGACUGUGGUCCGCCAGGGUGAGAACAUCACCAUCAUGUGCAUUGUGAUCGGGAAUGAGGUGGUCAAGUUUGAAUGGACGUACCCCCGCAUGGAGAGUGGGCGGCUGGUGCAGCCAGUGACUGACUUCCCCUUGGACGUUCCCUACCACAUUCGCUCCAGCCUGCACAUCCCCAAUGCUGAGCUGGGCGACUCAGGGACCUACAUCUGCAAUGUGUCAGAGAGUGUGUACGACCGUCAAGAUGAAAAGGCCAUCAAUGUCACUGUGGUCGAGAGCGGAUACGUGCGGCUGCUGGGAGAAGUGGAUGCUCUACAAUUCGCUGAGUUGCACAGGAGCAGGACACUGCAGGUGAUGUUUGAGGCUUACCCACCACCCACCGUCCUGUGGUUCAAGGACAACCGCACCUUGGGCGACACCAGUGCCGGCGAGAUUGCCUUGUCCACACGCAAUGUGUCGGAGACCUGGUAUGUGUCAGAGCUGACAUUGGUGCGGGUGAAGGUGGCAGAGGCUGGCCGUUACACCAUGCGGGCCUUCCAUGAGGACGCUGAGGCCCAGCUCUCCUUUCAGCUGCAGGUCAAUGUCCCAGUCCGUGUGCUGGAGCUGAGUGAGAGCCCCCCUGCCAGUGGAGAGCAGACAGUGCGCUGUCGUGGCCGGGGCAUGCCCCAGCCAAACAUCACCUGGUCUACCUGCAAAGACCUCAAAAGCAGGUGUCCACGCCAGCUGCCACCCACACCCCUGGGGAACAGUUCUGAGGAGGAGAGCCAGCUAGAGACUAACGUGACCUAUUGGGCAGAGGAGCAGGAGUUCGAGGUGGUGAGCACGCUGCGCCUGCGCCAUGUGGAUCAGCCACUGUCGGUGCGUUGCACUCUGCGCAAUCUGCUGGGCCAGGAUGCUCAGGAGGUCACCGUGGUGCCACAUUCCCUGCCCUUCAAGGUGGUGGUCAUCUCAGCCAUUCUGGCCUUGGUGGUCCUCACCAUCAUCUCCCUCAUCAUCCUCAUCAUGCUUUGGCAGAAGAAGCCACGCUACGAGAUCCGGUGGAAGGUGAUCGAGUCUGUGAGCUCUGAUGGCCAUGAGUACAUCUACGUGGACCCCAUGCAGCUGCCAUAUGACUCCACGUGGGAGCUUCCGCGGGACCAGCUUGUGCUUGGACGCACCCUCGGCUCUGGGGCCUUUGGGCAGGUGGUGGAGGCCACGGCUCAUGGCCUGAGCCAUUCGCAGGCCACAAUGAAAGUGGCUGUCAAGAUGCUGAAAUCCACAGCCCGCAGCAGUGAGAAGCAAGCCCUCAUGUCAGAGCUGAAGAUCAUGAGUCACCUCGGGCCCCACCUGAAUGUGGUCAACCUGCUGGGGGCCUGCACCAAAGGAGGACCCAUCUACAUCAUCACCGAGUACUGCCGCUACGGUGACCUGGUGGACUACCUGCACCGCAACAAGCACACCUUCCUGCAGCACCACUGUGACAAACGCCACCUGCCCAGUGCCGAGCUCUACAGCAAUGCCCUGCCCGCCGGGCUCCCCCUGCCCAGCCAUGUGUCCCUGACUGGGGAGAGUGAUGGUGGCUACAUGGACAUGAGCAAGGACGAGUCGGUAGACUACGUGCCUAUGCUGGACAUGAAAGGAGACGUCAAGUAUGCAGACAUCGAGUCCUCCAACUACAUGGGCCCGUAUGAUAACUACGUCCCCUCUGCUCCUGAGAGGACCUAUCGGGCAACUUUGAUCAACGAGUCCCCAGUGCUUAGCUACACGGACCUUGUGGGCUUCAGCUACCAGGUGGCCAAUGGCAUGGAGUUCCUGGCCUCCAAGAACUGUGUCCACCGAGACCUGGCAGCCAGGAAUGUGCUCAUCUGCGAGGGCAAGCUGGUCAAGAUCUGUGACUUCGGCCUGGCUCGAGACAUCAUGCGGGACUCGAACUACAUCUCCAAAGGCAGUACCUUCCUGCCUCUGAAGUGGAUGGCCCCCGAGAGCAUCUUCAACAGCCUCUACACCACGCUGAGUGACGUGUGGUCCUUUGGGAUCCUACUCUGGGAGAUCUUCACCCUGGGUGGCACCCCUUACCCAGAGCUGCCCAUGAACGAGCAGUUCUACAAUGCCAUCAAGCGGGGUUACCGCAUGGCCCAGCCUCCCCAUGCCUCUGACGAGAUUUACGAGAUCAUGCAGAAGUGCUGGGAAGAGAAGUUUGAGAUUCGGCCCCCAUUCUCCCAGCUGGUGUUGCUUCUUGAGAGACUGCUGGGCGAGGGUUACAAAAAGAAGUACCAGCAAGUGGAUGAGGAGUUUCUGAGGAGCGACCAUCCAGCCAUCCUUCGGUCCCAAGCCCGCUUGCCUGGAUUCCACGGCCUCCGAUCUCCCCUGGACACCAGCUCUGUCCUCUAUACUGCUGUGCAGCCCAAUGAGGCUGACAACGACUAUAUCAUCCCCCUGCCUGACCCCAAACCCGAGGCUGCUGAUGAGUGUCCACUGGAGGGCUCCCCCAGCCUUGCCAGCUCUACCCUGAAUGAAGUCAACACCUCCUCCACCAUCUCCUGUGACAGCCCCCUGGAGCCCCAAGAAGAACCAGAGCCAGAGUCUCAGCCUGAGCCCCAGGUGGAGCCCGAGCCGGAGCUGGAGAAGCCACUGGAUUCAGGCUGCCCUGGGCAUAGGGCCGAAGUGGAGGACAGCUUCCUGUAGGAGCUGGUUCCCACGCUGUCCUGCCCGAAGCUUCCCCUCUGCCUCCAAGCACCCAGCACCUCCUGGCCUGGCCUGGCCUGGCUGGGCCUCCUACUGGCCAGGCUGCCCCCAUGAGAGCUGUCCCCUCUGGAAGGCUUCUACCCAGGACACGUUGUGCCCCAAACCCUGGGGCUGGCUUAGGAAGCAAGAGAACUGCAGGAGCCAUUGACCAGCCCUCUGCCUCUGGGGAGGCCAUGUGGCUCUGAGCCAGGGUACCCCUUAGGGGACUCAGUUUCCCCAUAUGUAAGAUGGGAAAGUUGGGCUUGGUGAUGCACAAUCUGGAAUUCUCCCCCUGGCUGACAGGUGGGGAGGUUGGAAUCUCUGAGUUAAUGAGGUGGUAAAUUAAUUUCUUUCUGUUCAGCCCUCAAGGAGCCACAACUCUCUCACACACUUUUAUCUGCCCAGGAGCUGGGGAACAGACUCUAGCAUUCCUGGCUCCUGGCUGAGCUGGGACCUGGCCAUGAACAGUGUUGCUUCCUGCAGAAGCCACCCCCCACGAUGCCAGUCUCUGCUUUCCUGGGCCCGAGCUGGUCUGGGGCCAUCUGUGCUUACUUAAUUGUGUUAAUUAAUGCUGGGGGCUGAGCCAAGUCCAAGACUUCCGGCCUGUAUUCCUGCCCAGGGUCCUCGGGGCACACCUGGACAUAGAAAGUGCCUUUGUGCAGGACUUCCAGGCCCAUCAGUCCCAGGGCAUUUUCCUCAUCACCAGAGUCUGCAGGGCCCCACAGGCCCCACGUCUGUGAUGAGUGUGAUGUACCAGCAUGAAGUGUCCACAUAUGUGCACCAACAUGUUGCCCUGAAUCUGCAUUGGACCUGCUAUGAGACCUUGAAGGAAUCCCUCACCUUAUCUGGGCUUCAGUUUUCUCCUUUGAAAAAUGAGCAUGUUGGACUCAGUAACUCCAAGUGCCCUGUCAGCACUGACAUUCUAGAAUAUUCCAGGGGGUUGCACACUUGUCUAGAUGAAGCAAGGCCAAAUACCCCAAACUGCCAUCCUGGGGGUCAGCGGGAUUCUGGGGAGAUUCCAGACCACACAUCACACUCUGGGGAUUCAGAAACUGUGCCUCUUCCCCAGACCCCCAGCAAGUCCCAAGAAUGCAGCUGCCCAAGCCUUGACUUGGAGUGAUAGCUAGUGUCCUGGAAAGCCCCAGCAGCUGCCCCAGGGACAUGGGAAGACCAUGGGAGCCCUUUCAGCACCCACAAUGACCUCUGGAGCUACCCUGGGCAGAGAGGACAAGUCAAUUCACCUUGUGCAUCCCACUACUCCAGCACCUGCCAUCAAGGUCUGUUCUGCAGACAUAAUAGACAGUUAGGACAAUUAUGUCCUGCAAAGGACAAGUUUCACAUGAGAGAGGGGUGGAGAGGCAGGCAUUUGGGGGGUUGCCUUCUCACCCGCCACCUGCCCCAUCCCUGAGGCAUGGGAACCCUGCGGGGGAAUGGUCCCCAGCCCAGUGGGCAUUAGAGGUGCCAGAGGAGUGAGGGCUGUGGCCACGACCACUGGCAGGAGAAGGGCUGGAAAGAAGGGUAGCUCAACCCUUCUGGUGCCAGCCCCCUAUGCUGGUUGGCACCUCCUGCCCUGGGAUGCCCAAAAGCCUGGUCCAAGGAGGCGGGGAGUGGGUUCUCACUACGGUACCAAAGAUGUAAUCACCUAGGUUUACAAGUAUUUUUAGGACUCACGUUAACUCACAUUUAUACAAUAGAAGUGCUAUUUUGUAUGCUGUUAAGUUUUCCUAUCUGUGUACUUUUUUUAAGAAGAAGAUUUUAAUAUUAAACCUGGUGCUUCUCAGUCA